GGCCCAGUGGUGUAGUGGAAAAACACUUGCUUGUAAUAAGUGGCCAUUAAACCGUGUUGCGCAAGAGAUCUCUGUUCAACUCAGGGUUGGGUCA